rnacentral:piRNA from 1 species
UUCCAUGGUGUUUACUCUCAGUGC